rnacentral:rRNA from 1 species
GNUNNAUUGAUCCUGGCUCAGCAGUGACACCGCUCGGCGUGUCAGCCUAACACAUGCAAGUCGAACGGCAGCACAGGAGAGCUUGCUCUCUGGGUGGCGAGUGGCGGACGGGUGAGGAAUACAUCGGAAUCUACUCUGUCGUGGGGGAUAACGUAGGGAAACUUACGCUAAUACCGCAUACGACCUACGGGUGAAAGCAGGGGAUCUUCGGACCUUGCGCGAUUGAAUGAGCCGAUGUCGGAUUAGCUAGUUGGCGGGGUAAAGGCCCACCAAGGCGACGAUCCGUAGCUGGUCUGAGAAGGAUGAUCAGCCACACUGGAACUGAGAAGGUCCAAAUCCUAGGAGGUGNGGAAUUUGAA